GUGAUCGUAGGGUAAUCGGCAACCCACCUGAUUUGGGAUCAGGAACAUGCAGGUUCGAGUCCUGCCGGUCGCA
rnacentral:tRNA from 1 species